rnacentral:rRNA from 1 species
UAGUCGCCACGGUAAUACAGAGGGUGCGAGCGUUAAUCGGAUUUACUGGGCGUAAAGCGUGCGUAGGCGGCUUCUUAAGUCGGAUGUGAAAUCCCUGAGCUUAACUUAGGAAUUGCAUUCGAUACUGGGAAGCUAGAGUAUGGGAGAGGAUGGUAGAAUUCCAGGUGUAGCGGUGAAAUGCGUAGAGAUCUGGAGGAAUACCGAUGGCGAAGGCAGCCAUCUGGCCUAAUACUGACGCUGAGGUACGAAAGCAUGGGGAGCAAACAGGAUUAGAGACCCCCGUAGUCCCUGUCUCUUAUAC